ensembl:lncRNA
UUUGUUUUUUGUUUUUUCAGAGCUCAUAUGUAAGGUUGAAUUUUAGCUUAAAAAAGUAUUUGGUAUUAUAAUAUAACCAUUAUAUAAUAUUUAACUUAAGCUUUUUUGUUGUUGUUUAAUUGCAGAUUGAGCUUAACCUUGUGAUCAAGGGCAAACCGUCAAAUACGUUUGCUAGCGCUGCGCACGAAGUAAGGUUUUCAUAGGGUUUAGCAACAAACAGACCAUAUCCAGGACAACAUGCUUUUCAUAGCAGUAUAAUAGCACUACAAUGCGACACAAUGUGAUAUGAAUCAUGUGUUUUUGUUUGUUUUUAUUUUUUUUUUGCAUUUCAGGAACCAGAAUCGAUGGACUGGACUGCUUACGGUGAACAACCAGUUCCUGGCCGUGAAAGAAGAGGAUGACAAUCAUAACAUUUCUGCUUGGGCAAUUACAGUUGAUCCUGCAACAAUUUGGUUUUUGUUUUUUUUUUUAGAUAAUUUUGUAAAUUUCAUUUCUCAAACCCUAAGCUGCUGUAAUCAAGUGUUACUAUAAAAGCAAGUAGAAGUCAAUUUUUUUUAAUGCAGCAGCUAAUUUCUUCCUGUUGGCUUUAAAGCGGGUUGACGGACCUUUUUUCACAAGAAUAUAUCUUGAAAAGUACUUGAUAUAUGAAACUAAAAUUACAUAGUACAUAUUACAUAUACAUAUUACAUACAUAUAAAAUUACAUAGUACAUAUUACAUAUUUUGUACAAAUUUUAAAGACAUUACACAGAUUUGGGACCAAUCAGGAAAAAUAAUCUCUAACCCAGCUCAAAUUAAUUAUGUUUUUUAUGCUAUUUUAUAAACCCCUUUAUAAAUCUGAAUCACAGUAGUAAAACUCAAAUAAAAUACUUUUCUUUUGGGAACUUAAGCUUACCAAGGGUAGGCCAAUGGUAAUAAAAAAUUAGAUGCUCCAAUAUAUAUGUCCAAACUGAACCAUAAUAUGUCUAUUGCAAAUUGGAGAAUGUUCUAGAAAUUUAAAUAGAUUAUUAUUUUUAUUCUAAUUUGAGUACAGUUUUUGAGAUGUUCAUUUUCAAGCAUUGCCAUAUAUAGCAUCUGAUAUGCAUUUUUUCCCCUUUUUUUGUGACAAGUAUUCUAUAUGGUUUAUUUUUUGGUAUUGUAAAAUUCAACUACAUAUCAUUCAGAAAUUAAAUUGCUGUGAACAAACAUUGGACUUUUUUUUCAUAUUUUAACUAGCCAAAACUUGAUGGUAAAAAACAACAAGAGAAAAUACAGACUUUUAUCUUUAAUGGAGUUUGAAAUAUUUAUGUUCAAAUACUGAACAUUGAUGUGUUC